rnacentral:rRNA from 1 species
GAUGAACGCUAGCGGCAGGCCUAACACAUGCAAGUCGAGGAAGAAGCCCUUUCGGGGCAGAAACCGGCGCGCGGGUGCGUAACGCGUAUGCAACCUACCUUUCACAGGGGGAUAGCCCGAAGAAAUUUGGAUUAAUACCCCAUAAUAUUAUUGGAUGGCAUCAUUUGAUAAUUAAAACUGCGGUGGUGAAAGAUGGGCAUGCGUCCUAUUAGCUAGUUGGAGUGGUAACGGCACCCCAAGGCUACGAUAGGUAGGGGUCCUGAGAGGGAGAUCCCCCACACUGGUACUGAGACAGGGACCAGACUCCUACGGGAGGCAGCAGUGAGGAAUAUUGGUCAAUGGUCGGAAGACUGAACCAGCCAUGCCGCGUGCAGGAAGAAUGUCUUAUGGGUUGUAAACUGCUUUUAUAUGGGAAGAAUAAGGCGUACGAGUACGAUGAUGACGGUACCAUAUGAAUAAGC